ACGUUAGUUCAUUAUUUAGUGUUUUAUCUUAAUAUGCAGUUCGAAUGUUAGAUAAUACCAUUAUUUUGAUGUAUACGUCAAGAUGUAUAACUAUUAUGGUGUUUAUGUUAUUCUAGUGAGUUGUAUAUAUCUGGAUGUUUCUGCCAUAAGAAUGCCAUUCUCCAUUUUCAAUAAAAUAUCUCCAUUUCCAAUAAAAAGCAUCUAAUAUUGUUCGAGAUAUGGGAAAAAAUCAAUUUUCGUUUGUAACUGCAAAGGGCUGUAACUUUUUUAAUGUGCACAUUUGUACUAAGUCCAAUGCAGGAAAACCCGCAGCAGAAAACUCUGAGAAAUCCAGUGACCUUGAAAUUAUUGAUGGACAGGAAGUCGUACCUCAUUCGAUGCCAUAUAUGGCUGCUAUUCGUACUGUAAUAAAUUCCACCUCAAUUUUGUGUGGAGGAUCUUUAAUUAGUGAUUCCUUAGUCCUGACAGCAGCUCGGUGUGUUGAUGGAGCUAGUGAAGUGGAUGUUACUUUAGGGGCUCACAAUUUAGAAGACAAUGAAGACAGUCAAAUUACUCUGAUUUCCUCAUCAUUUUUUAUACAUAAAGAUUAUAGACAUUCGGGAUUAGCUGACGAUAUUGCAGUUAUUGAAUUACCCGUAUCAGUUCCUUUAAGUAGAUAUAUUGCCACUAUAAAGUUACCAGAACUUACAGAUAUUGGCAAUACCUAUGAAGGACAAGAAGCUUUAGUUGCCGGAUGGGGUGGAGUAAAUGAUGUAGAACAAGUCAAAAGCAAUGUUUUACGGUAUCAAAACUUGACUAUUAUUCCAGUUGAAAUGUGUGAAAUCUCAUAUUUAUUUAAAAUGCAAUCGGACCAAAUUUGUGCAUCAGCACCAUUGGGAAAGAAUAUCUGCUUGGGAGAUAACGGAAGUCCUUUAGUUGUAAAUGGAGUACAAAGAUACAAAUAGGAGUACCUACGGAAUACUUAUUUUCAAGGCCAAUAAGGUCACUUCUCACAGGAGACAGAAUCCUCUCAGCUUGAGAGACUCCCAAUCACAUAACAACAAUGGGAGGCUUACAGUUUUCUAUUGGAAAUUGGUCAUCCGACGGGCUUUUGGUGCGGUGGAGCCGCUUAAUUUUAGGGGAUGCGUUAAGCUAAGCUACGUUCUUCCCUUUUGUCCUUGAUCUAAAAAAUUUGAUCCUAUGCUCUCUGGCCAGGACUGUGUGCGCCGAUUCAUAAAUCCAGGAAAUCGAGAUUAAGAGAGGGAAAAAUUUCAACAAAUAAAGAAAGGAAAUGACAGGAGAAUGGAAAGCGUGAAAGAAGUGAGCAAGAGAAGGCGCCAGCAACAUCUGACGUUCGUAUAGAAUACAGAUUGGCAUUGCUUCCUAUGGUAGCGUGUUUGGAUGUUCGAUGGGAUUCCCUGGUGUUUUUACCAGAGUAACAAAAUAUCUGGAAUGGUUACCGCUUUAAGGAUUCUAAGGUCCUCAUCGAUUAGUAUACAUACAGUAUGGUUCAUAAUUAAUGGGUGUUACUUUACCUACAGAUUCUAUAAAAUAAUUAUGUUUCAGCUUAACUGAGAAUUAGUGAGAAU
rnacentral:misc_RNA from 1 species